rnacentral:lncRNA from 1 species
AUGAGCCUGGCUAGCACAGGACCCGGUCCCGUGUGUGCCAAGGGAGGCGAGAUGGUAACCGUGAGCCUGGGAUCAGAGCCCUCGGGCUUGGGGCGCUGUAGCGAGCAGUUGUAGCUUCGCUGGCUGUCUGGGAGUCUGCUGGGCUUUCUCCUCGCUGAGCUCACCGAUAGCACCUCGAUCUCAGUGAUGUUCCAGAAGGCUUUCCAGAAGUGGACAUCCAGGUUCUGUAUGAUACGUUCAAAUUCAGCCCCGCGCAACUCUGGGUCUAUGGCGAAUCGGCCACCGUGUUCCCCGAAGGACACCAGCCCGAUGGAGAGAGUCUGCAGGAACGGCCGGAUGGCAGGUGUGAACUGUGAAGGAAUGCCUGUGUCACCCAAGUACCCAGGAGAGGGAUGA